CCCUUAGAUGUUCUGGGCCGCACGCGUGCUACACUGAGUAAAUCAAUGGGUAAGGGAACACGAAAGAGCAACCUAAUCUUGAAAUUUGCUCGUGAUGGGGAUCGACGGUUGCAAUUUUCCGUCGUGAACGAGGAAUACCUUGUAGGCGCGUGUCAUCAUCACGCGCCGAAUACGUCCCUGCCCUUUGUACACACCGCCCGUCGCUCCUACCGAUUGAGUGAUCCGGUGAGGCUCUGGGACCUGGACGGAAAGAGCGUUUCGCUUGUUCUGUUUGGGAAGCUUGGUCGAACCUUAUCAUUUAGAGGAAGGAGAAGUCGUAACA
rnacentral:rRNA from 1 species